GUGUCAGCAGCCGCGGUAAUACAGAGGUGGCAAGCGUUGUUCGGAAUUACUGGGCGUAAAGGGCGCGUAGGCGGUUUCGUAAGUCCUGUGUGAAAUCCCCCGGCUCAACUGGGGAACUGCACAGGAAACUGCGAGGCUUGAGUUCGGGAGAGGGAAGCGGAAUUCCGGGUGUAGCGGUGAAAUGCGUAGAUAUCCGGAGGAACACCGGUGGCGAAGGCGGCUUCCUGGACCGACACUGACGCUGAGGCGCGAAAGCCAGGGGAGCAAACGGGAUUAGAUACCCCGGUAGUCCUGGCUGUAAACGAUGAGUGCUGGGUGUAGGAGGUAUUAACCCCUCCUGUGCCGAAGCUAACGCAUUAAGCACUCCGCCUGGGGAGUACGGUCGCAAGGCUGAA
rnacentral:rRNA from 1 species